AGAGAGCAGGCCUUGCCGUGAGGCUGGCCGUGAUGUGAGCCGUGGACUGCUCUGUGCUGCUGAGAGUGGCCGAAAUCUGUUGCUGGACAUUGGCAUUGCUUAUUCUGCGCCAACUUUGGUGCUAAAAACUGGCCACAAGACAGCAACUGAGUUGCUUUGUUGUAUGGUGUACAUCUUUGACUGCAUCUUCAGGACCUGUCGGCAUACUGCAUCUGUAAAUCAUUUAGUGCUUUGAAUGGCUAUUGCAUAGUGAUGUAUAGUCUGAUGGCCAAUUGCUGCAACUGGCUAAAGAAGUGGAGGGAACCUGUUAGGAAGGUGACAUUAAUCAUGGUGGGUCUUGAUAAUGCUGGAAAAACUGCAACAGUGAAAGGAAUCCAAGGAGCUAAGCUGCAUCUUUAUU